AAAAUACCAACUUAGGUAGCUUUUUCUGCACUUUAUUUAGUUAUCCAACUUACAAGGAUGCUAAUGCUCUCAUCCACCUUCUUCACCCCAAAUGACCUAAUACUGUUGGCAGUAUUCUUUUUUUUUUAAAAAAGAAGCAGCAUCUCUUUGUUGAUUUGAAAGAAUGCUUCAUGAUUGCCCAAAAAAUCUGUAGAUAUAACCGACAUUCCUUUCUUGAAUCCCUACGCUAGUACUCCCUCCAUUACUAUUUGUAUGACAAUAUUUGACUGAGGAUGGCAUUUAAAUAUUAUUUUUGACUUGUGUAUUAUUAGUGGCAGACGAGAUAUUAAAGUACUAGUUGAAAAUUUAGUUUGGCAGUGAAAAUAUCACACCAAAGGCUGAAACUUAACUUUAUUAAAGUUGGAUAGAAAUAGAUUUGUGUCAA
rnacentral:lncRNA from 1 species